rnacentral:rRNA from 1 species
UACGUAGGGUGCAAGCGUUAAUCGGAAUUACUGGGCGUAAAGCGUGCGCAGGCGGUUAUGCAAGACAGAUGUGAAAUCCCCGGGCUCAACCUGGGAACUGCAUUUGUGACUGCAUGGCUAGAGUACGGUAGAGGGGGAUGGAAUUCCGCGUGUAGCAGUGAAAUGCGUAGAUAUGCGGAGGAACACCGAUGGCGAAGGCAACCCCCUGGACCUGUACUGACGCUCAUGCACGAAAGCGUGGGGAGCAAACAGG